CCUUAUUAAGAUUUUUCAGCUAAUAGAAGACAAAACCAACUUUUCUAAUCUCAUUAAAGAAGAAAAAUGAAUCAAACUUGAACUGAAGAAUAUUGCUUUUCUGGUCUGUGAUGAAUUUCAUGAUGAACUUGAUUUCGUUAUUUUUGUAAUUGCCCUGUUGCUUUCAGCAACAUCUGCCUUCAAAAUUGCAAUUCACAGAAGAGCAUCUUUCCAUGAUGAAAAUUUGGCCAGAAUAUUCUGCAUCAGAGUGCUGAUAUCACCACAAAUGGUAAAUAACUGAAUAGAGGUCACUUCCUAUUUCUUCCUGUAAUGCCAGAAGACCCAGCUUCAAAAUAAAAUAUUCAGUCUUUUAUCUGGAUAUUUUGUCUCCAU
rnacentral:lncRNA from 1 species